rnacentral:sRNA from 1 species
CUACAACUGCUCAUCGCCAACAAAGCGGAUGAAGACAAAACAGCCGAAAUGUCAACACCACCAAAACCGUAUCUCUCAAAUGGGCAUAUGCUAGAACGUCCGCCCAUCUCUGCCCGAAUCCGAUACCUCAUCGAUGAUCUCUACAUCUUCUUCGGCUUAUACAUCGUCAGCUUUUUCUCGUUGAAUGCCUCUUUGGCUGCCAGUAAUUCCAAGUUCAACGUCCAGAAUAUAGAAAAUACUCAAAUCCGCCGACCGCGUUGGGGUA